GAUGAACGCUGGCGGCGUGCCUAAUACAUGCAAGUCGAGCGAACAGACGAGGAGCUUGCUCCUCUGACGUUAGCGGCGGACGGGUGAGUAACACGUGGAUAACCUACCUAUAAGACUGGGAUAACUUCGGGAAACCGGAGCUAAUACCGGAUAAUAUAUUGAACCGCAUGGUUCAAUAGUGAAAGACGGUUUUGCUGUCACUUAUAGAUGGAUCCGCGCCGCAUUAGCUAGUUGGUAAGGUAACAGCUUACCAAGGCAACGAUGCGUAGCCGACCUGAGAGGAUGAUCGGCCACACUGGAACUGGGCCACGGUCCAGACUCCUACGGGAGGCAGCAGUAGGGAAUCUUCCGCAAUGGGCGAAAGCCUGACGGAGCAACGCCGCGUGAGUGAUGAAGGUCUUCGGAUCGUAAAACUCUGUUAUUAGGGAAGAACAAAUGUGUAAGUAACUAUGCACGUCUUGACGGUACCUAAUCAGAAAGCCACGGCUAACUACGUG
rnacentral:rRNA from 1 species